rnacentral:lncRNA from 7 species
CCGAAUGUUUAAGUGGCUACUAUAAAACAAAUGAGGUACACAAUUUUAAUCAUAGGUUUCAUGGUAAUAUAAAGUUACUAGAUGAUAAACAAUAUUAUUAUGAGUCCAAUGCAACUGGAAUGGGCUAAAUCGGAGUUAAAAUGCAUUAGUUAUGGAUUUUUGAAGUUUAUUAGUCAUUUGGGUAUUAUUUCUAUAUUGAUUUUUAUAUCCCUGGGGCUAAUAUGCAAAGUCCUCAUUUAAUUUAAUUUUAUUUAUACUGAAAAUGGACGGCAGGUUUAUUUUAGAAAAGCCGAGGGGCUCUUACGCAAAAUGGCACGGCCGAACGAGUAUUUGUGAAUUCUGGCCGCUGGAUCGAAGAUGUGUGACCCAGAUCAGAUCACUCCCCUAUGCGAACCAGUACGUAUCCUUAGUCCUUGGAUCGGAGAUCUACGGUCAGAGACCUACGUGACAUCUAAAUCGCCCGAUAGCCAAUCGACGACCGAAUCUAACUGCCGUGAAGAGGUAUGAUCAUGCGCUAAUUAGAGCCACCCAUCACGACAUCGACGGCCCGCAAUCCUUCUUCCCUAUCCCGCGCCCAGACGCCACGGUAUUGCCUGAACCGCGGCGGGCACCCACCGACGCGACGACCAACACGCAAUUUGCGACCCAAACCCUAAAUCAAUGAUGCUAACCUAACCCCGGGGCUACGGUGAUCAGGGAGAGGCCCAAACAACCGUGCCCAACGGCCAAGAGAGCCCCGCCCACGGAGUUCCACGCUCCGCGACGGAUCCUCAACGUCCAGCGAGCAAUUCCCCGACAGCGAAGACCCUACUCACCUAUCUAACGGGUGCUAUGCGACCCUCCGGACACAACGGAUAGACCAGAGCACUUACUAGGAAUCCGAACGGCACUAGGAGAAGCGACCAUGGCGCGAUGCGGAUUGGCCGUAUCCGCUCAAUCACCGGUGAUGGUCCGAGCCGACUAGAACCGCCCGACGCACAGGAGCACCACCGCAGGAUUCCCGGUCCUGGCAACACACUACGGCUAACAGCACCAGUGCACACGACGAGUGACGACACGGCGGCGCUACCCCUCCUCUGUUCUUUCUUCACUCGCACACGAUCACGGUGGCGGGGCACAGAUCGGGGAGGAUUACGGCGUCGCAGCAGUUUGGGUCUCUUAUAAAGGAAGACGUGUACGACCACCAGGUAUCGAGCUUGGCGCAACAACCCGGCGG